rnacentral:misc_RNA from 1 species
AAGUCGUAACAAGGUUUCCGUAGGUGAACCUGCGGAAGGAUCAUUAACACGUUAUCCACGUAUCAACCAAACCGUGAACUUGAACCUGUAUGCCAGUUGCGCGCUGUCGAGAGGGAGUGGAGAAGGGAUUCUUCACUUUGCUUUCCCCAGUGUGUUUCAACUGCAUCGUUGUUCCCAAUUACCAAAUCACCCCUGAUGUCUCUUUUUUCUUCUUCGGGAGAAGAAGGAGCCAUUGGUUUUAUUCUCUAUUUCUUAUUGAAGAUCUGAAGCCAUUUCGGCUUUGUCUUCUAACACAAACGCUGUACAACUCUUAGCAACGGAUAUCUUGGUUUCC